CGUUUCCACCCCAAAUAUAGUUUCAGCACAUUUAACAUGCAGGCACUAAUCAUCUCUAACAUUGUCAUGGUCCAUUUUAGAGUUCACAUUGCUCUGGGCUA